rnacentral:rRNA from 1 species
GAUGAACGCUGGCGGCGUGCCUAAUACAUGCAAGUCGAGCGAACAGAUGAGGAGCUUGCUCCUCUGACGUUAGCGGCGGACGGGUGAGUAACACGUGGAUAACCUACCUAUAAGACUGGGAUAACUUCGGGAAACCGGAGCUAAUACCGGAUAAUAUAUUGAACCGCAUGGUUCAAUAGUGAAAGACGGUUUUGCUGUCACUUAUAGAUGGAUCCGCGCCGCAUUAGCUAGUUGGUAAGGUAACGGCUUAUCAAGGCAACGAUGCGUAGCCGACCUGAGAGGGUGAUCGGCCACACUGGAACUGAGACACGGUCCAGACUCCUACGGGAAGCAGCAGUAGGGAAUCUUCCGCAAUGGGCGAAAGCCUGACGGAGCAACGCCGCGUGAGUGAUGAAGGUCUUCGGAUCGUAAAACUCUGUUAUUAGGGAAGAACAAAUGUGUAAGUAACUAUGCACGUCUUGACGGUACCUAAUCAGAAAGCCACGGCUAACUACGUG